ACAUGCCUACAACAUAGCGUUAAUGCACUAUAUCCCAUUAUAACUCUGUAGUUAAACGCACUCAGGCUAGAGUAGUACUGGGAUGGGUUACUGCUCGGGAAGUCCUACUAUUUUACAUGUG
rfam:Picea glauca, whole genome shotgun sequence.